AAGGGAGGCAGCAGUGGGGAAUAUUGGACAAUGGGGGAAACCCUGAUCCAGCGACGCCGCGUGAGUGAAGAAGUAUUUCGGUAUGUAAAGCUCUAUCAGCAGGGAAGAUGAUGACGGGACCUGACUAAGAAGCCCCGGCUAACUACGUGCCAGCAGCCGCGGUAAUACGUAGGGGGCAAGCGUUAUCCGGAUUUACUGGGUGUAAAGGGAGCGUAGGCGGCCAGACAAGUCAGGUGUGAAAACCCGGGGCUCAACCCCGGGACUGCAUUGGAAACUGUCAGGCUAGAGUGCAGGAGAGGUAAGUGGAAUUCCUAGUGUAGCGGUGAAAUGCGUAGAUAUUAGGAGGAACACCAGUGGCGAAGGCGGCUUACUGGACUGUAACUGACGUUGAGGCUCGAAAGCGUGGGGAGCAAACAGGAUUAGAUACCCUGGUA
rnacentral:rRNA from 1 species